rnacentral:rRNA from 1 species
UACGGAGGGGGCUAGCGUUGUUCGGAAUUACUGGGCGUAAAGCGCGCGUAGGCGGAUCUGCAAGUCGGGGGUGAAAUCCCGAGGCUCAACCUCGGAACUGCCUUCGAUACUGCGGGUCUCGAGUCCGGGAGAGGUGAGUGGAAUUCCUAGUGUAGAGGUGAAAUUCGUAGAUAUUAGGAAGAACACCAGUGGCGAAGGCGGCUCACUGGGCCGAUACUGACGCUGAGGCGCGAAAGCCAGGGGAGCAAACGGG